UGAUUAAGCCAUGCAAGUCGAGAGGGUUCGGCCCUCGGCGUACUGCUCAGUAACACGUGGAUAACCUGCCCUAGGGAAGGGGAUAACCCCGGGAAACUGGGGAUAAUACCCUAUAGAUUACAGAUGCUGGAAUGCCCUGUAAUCCAAAGUUCCGACGCCCUAGGAUGGAUCUGCGGCCGAUUAGGUUGUUGUUGGGGUAAUGGCCCAACAAGCCCGUAAUCGGUACGGGUUGUGGGAGCAAGAGCCCGGAGUUGGAUUCUGAGACACGAAUCCAGGCCCUACGGGGCGCAGCAGGCGCGAAAACUUUACAAUGCGGGCAACCGUGAUAAGGGAACCUCGAGUGCCUGUAAAUGCAGGCUGUUCAGGUGCCUAAAACACACCUGAAGAAAGGGCCGGGCAAGACCGGUGCCAGCCGCCGCGGUAAUACCGGCGGCUCGAGUGGUGGCCGCUUUUAUUGGGCCUAAAGCGUUCGUAGCUGGGUUGUUAAGUCUCUUGGGAAAUCUGGCGGCUUAACCGUCAGGCGUCUAAGGGAUACUGGCAAUCUUGGAACCGGGAGAGGUGAGGGGUACUUCGGGGGUAGGAGUGAAAUCCUGUAAUCCUCGAGGGACCACCUGUGGCGAAGGCGCCUCACCAGAACGGCUUCGACAGUGAGGGACGAAAGCUGGGGGAGCAAACCGGAUUAGAUACCCGGGUAGUCCCAGCCGUAAACUAUGCGCGUUAGGUGUAUCGGUGACCACGAGUAACCGAGGUGCCGAAGGGAAACCGUGAAACGUGCCGCCUGGGAAGUACGGUCGCAAGGCUGAAACUUAAAGGAAUUGGCGGGGGAGCA
rnacentral:rRNA from 1 species